rnacentral:rRNA from 1 species
UACGGGGGGGGCAAGCGUUGUUCGGAAUUACUGGGCGUAAAGGGCUCGUAGGUGGCCAACUAAGUCAGACGUGAAAUCCCUCGGCUUAACCGGGGAACUGCGUCUGAUACUGGAUGGCUUGAGUUUGGGAGAGGGAUGCGGAAUUCCAGGUGUAGCGGUGAAAUGCGUAGAUAUCUGGAGGAACACCGGUGGCGAAGGCGGCAUCCUGGACCAACACUGACAUUGAGGAGCGAAAGCCAGGGGAGCAAACGGG